AUUGAACGCUGGCGGCAGGCAUAACACAUGCAAGUCGAACGAGUGGCGGAAGGGUGAGUAAUGUCUGGGACACUGCCCGAUGGCGGGGGAUAACUACUGGAAACGGUAGCUAAUACCGCAUACCAUCGGAGGUGCCCAGAUGGGAUUAGCGAGUAGGUUGGGUAACGGCUCACCUAGGCGACGAUCCCUAGCUGGUCUGAGAGGAUGACAAGCCAUACUGGAACUGAGACACGGUCCAGACUCCUACGGGAGGCAGCAGUGGGGAAUAGUGCACAAUGGGCGCAAGCCUGAUGCAGCCAUGCCGCGUGUAUGAAGAAGGCCUGCGGGCUGUAAAGUACUUUCAGCGAGGAGGCGUUACUCGCAGAAGAAGCACCGGCUAACUCCGUGCCAGCAGCCGCGGUAAUUC
rnacentral:rRNA from 1 species